rnacentral:misc_RNA from 1 species
GGAUCUUUGCUUGAGCAACGACGUCCGCCCGUUCGAGCCUUUUCAUUCAUGGUGCAAGAGUUCUAUUCCUUGGCCGGUUUUGGUUUCCUGUGUUUCAUACCGAUACACGGAAUCGUUUUGUUUCAAUCGUCCCUCGUUCGUCUUAUGAUGCCCGCUUCUAGCGUGUGCUUUGUUGAUGAACCACGAAGUGCCCGUUGCCGUCCUCCUCAGCCACGUUUACUCGUGUGUUGGGUGCGGCCUGUGACAGGGUCCUUGUGCUCAUGGAUGCAGUACCCUCUUAGGGUACGGGGAUCGUCCCCUUUCUGCCCAAAAUUAUGCGUUCACCGCUAAUCAGCGAACGACCGUUGUUGGCGUCUUGGGUCGGCCGUCUCUAUGAGUCGUGCUAACCCGAGUGUCAACGACGUCGGUAAGGA